GGGGGUGGAGGGACGCCAUCGCCGGGGAUCGGGACGCCAAUUGGCGCCGGAAGAAGAGCGUCCUGGAGGCCAAGAGGAAGAGGAUCCUGGCUCUGUCUGAAAAAGAAAACAAGCUGGGGCAGCACCAGGUGGAUGAAAGGGAGCACAAGACUGCCUUCUGCGACAUCACCAACCAGCCCCAUAAGAAAAAACAGCCUCUAUACACACAGGCAGACACCAGGUUCAAUUCCUACCUCCAGGGAGCAGAAACUCUAGCCAAGGGAGAAGUCCUGAGCAAGUGUCCCCGGUGCAGAUUCGCAUCCAAACUAAGAAACGGAAAUUACGUUUGCACGGGUUGCAGUUACACAUUCUGUGCCAAAUGCAGGGGCCC